GGUGAGUAACACGUGGGUGAUCUGCCCUGCACUUCGGGAUAAGCCUGGGAAACUGGGUCUAAUACCGGAUAGGAGCCAUUUUUAGUGUGAUGGUUGGAAAGUUUUUUCGGUGUAGGAUGAGCUCGCGGCCUAUCAGCUUGUUGGUGGGGUAAUGGCCUACCAAGGCGGCGACGGGUAGCCGGCCUGAGAGGGUGGACGGCCACAUUGGGACUGAGAUACGGCCCAG
rnacentral:rRNA from 1 species